rnacentral:rRNA from 1 species
UACGUAGGGUGCGAGCGUUAAUCGGAAUUACUGGGCGUAAAGCGUGCGCAGGCGGUUUUGUAAGACAGAUGGGAAAUCCCCGGGCUCAACCUGGGAACUGCGUUUGUGACUGCAAGACUUGAGUGCGGCAGAGGGGGGUAGAAUUCCACGUGUAGCAGUGAAAUGCGUAGAGAUGUGGAGGAAUACCGAUGGCGAAGGCAGCCCCCUGGGUCGACACUGACGCUCAUGCACGAAAGCGUGGGGAGCAAACAGG